rnacentral:rRNA from 1 species
CAUGCAAGUCGAGGGGCAGCACGUCUUCGGAUGGUGGCGACCGGCGCACGGGUGCGUAACGCGUAUACAAUCUACCUUUUACUGGGGCAUAGCCCGGGGAAACCCGGAUUAAUAUCCCAUGGUAUCAUUUAGUGGCAUCACUUGAAUGAUUAAAGCUUUGGCGGUAAAAGAUGAGUAUGCGUUCUAUUAGCUAGAUGGUAAGGUAACGGCUUACCAUGGCUACGAUAGAUAGGGGUCCUGAGAGGGAGAUCCCCCACACUGGUACUGAGACAC